UCCGGUUUAUCACCGGCAGUCUCCACAGAGUCCUCGGCUUUACCCGUUAGUAACUGUGAACAAGGGUUGCGCUCGUUGCGGGACUUAACCCAACAUCUCACGACACGAGCUGACGACAGCCAUGCACCACCUGUCAUGGGCCCUAAUGGACACCGUAUUUCUACGGCUUUUCCCAUGAUGUCAAACCCAGGUAAGGUUCUUCGGGUUGCAUCGAAUUAAGCCGCAUGCUCCGCCGCUUGUGCGGGGACCUGUCAAUUCCUUUGAGUUUCAGCCUUGCGGCCGUACUCCCCAGGCGGGGUACUUCCUGCGUUAGCGCCGGCACCCAAGGGGUCGCUCCCCCAGGCACCUAGUACCCAUCGUUUACGGCGUGGACUAC
rnacentral:misc_RNA from 1 species